AUGCGCCUCCUCGCCGCGCUCCUGCUCUUCGCCGCCGCCGCCGCGGUUGCGGCGGCGGCGGAGCUGCCCGAGUUCAGGGAGGCGCCGGCGUUCCGCAACGGCGCGGGGUGCGCGGGGGCCCCCACGAUCCACAUCGCGAUGACCCUCGACGGCACCUACCUGCGCGGGUCCCUCGCGGGCGUCCUCUCCGUGCUCCGCCACGCCGCGUGCCCGGAGUCCAUCGCCUUCCACUUCGUCGCCUCCUCGGCGUCCCCCGCGCGUCGCCUCGCCAGGCUCCGCGCCGCGCUCGCCGCCGCCUUCCCCACGCUCCCCGCCACCGUCCACCGCUUCGACGCCCGCCUCGUCCGCGGCAAGAUCUCCUCCUCCGUGCGCCGCGCCCUCGACCAGCCCCUCAACUACGCCCGCAUCUACCUCGCCGACAUCCUCCCCCGCUCCGUCCCCCGCGUCCUCUACCUCGACUCGGACCUCCUCGUCGUCGACGACGUCGCGCGCCUCUGGGCCACCGACCUCGGCCCCCACGCCGCCCUCGCCGCGCCCGAGUACUGCAACGCCAACUUCACCCUCUACUUCACCGACGCCUUCUGGCGCCACCCAGCCUACUCCUCCGUCUUCGCCAACCGCACGCGCGCGCCCUGCUACUUCAACACCGGGGUCAUGGUCAUCGACCUCGACCGGUGGCGGGCCGGCGGGUACACGGCCAAGCUCGAGUACUGGAUGGACGUGCAGAAGCAGGAGGCCAGGAUAUACGAGCUGGGCUCACUCCCGCCGUUCCUCCUCGUGUUCGCCGGCGACGUGAAGGCCGUGCAGCACAGGUGGAACCAGCACGGCCUCGGCGGGGACAACGUGGCGGGGCAGUGCCGGGAGCUGCACCCGGGGCCGGUGAGCCUGCUGCACUGGAGCGGCAAGGGGAAGCCGUGGCUGCGGCUCGACGCGGGCCGCCCCUGCCCGCUGGACGCGCUCUGGGCGCCCUACGACCUGCUCCGCCGCCGCGGCGCCCGUGACGACCUCCUCGCCGCCGUGGCUUGA
rnacentral:rRNA from 1 species